rnacentral:rRNA from 1 species
GACGAACGCUGGCGGCAUGCUUAACACAUGCAAGUCGAACGGAAAGGCCCCUUUGGGGGUACUCGAGUGGCGAACGGGUGAGUAACACGUGAGUAACCUGCCCUUGACUUCGGGAUAACUUCAGGAAACUGGGGCUAAUACCGGAUAGGAAUCCUUGCUGCAUGGUGGGGGUUGGAAAGCUUCGGCGGUUUUGGAUGGACUCGCGGCUUAUCAGCUUGUUGGUGGGGUAGUGGCUUACCAAGGCUUUGACGGGUAGCCGGCCUGAGAGGGCGACCGGCCACAUUGGGACUGAGAUACGGCCCAGACUCCUACGGGAGGCAGCAGUGGGGAAUAUUGCACAAUGGGCGGAAGCCUGAUGCAGCAACGCCGCGUGCGGGAUGACGGCCUUCGGGUUGGAAACCGCUUUCAGCAGGGGCGAAGCUUGUGGUGACGGUACCUGCAGAAGAAGCACCGGCUAACUACGUG